rnacentral:lncRNA from 1 species
AAGAGGAAAUUUCCCAUUUUAAAGAAUUCUCUUCUCCUUUUCCUUCUUCCAGAAGAUCAGUAUCCAAGUAUUUCCCCAACUAGAAGAUCACCCAUCCCAGGAAGAGAAGAGACAAUAGAGGAGAGGCAGGCCUUGCAUCUGAUCUAGGAGGCAUUUUUAUUGAAGAGUACUGUUGUUGUUGAGAGCUCACUGGAGAAGUUUUUGCCAAAUAGUGAGUUCUUAUCCCUAAAACUGCUACCCCAUCAUUUUUGAGGUAAGGAAACUAAGACCCAGCAAAGUUUAAUUAAUUGAUCGAGCUUAUAUUGGUAGUAAACAUCACAGUAUUUUAAACUAUUUCCUCUGACUUGAGAACCAGACA